rnacentral:rRNA from 1 species
GAUGAACGCUGGCGGCGUGCUUAACACAUGCAAGUCGAACGGAAAGGCCCAAGCUUGCUUGGGUACUCGAGUGGCGAACGGGUGAGUAACACGUGGGUGAUCUGCCCUGCACUUCGGGAUAAGCUUGGGAAACUGGGUCUAAUACCGGAUAGGACCACUUCUUGGAUGUUGUGGUGGAAAGUUUUUUCGGUGUGGGAUGAGCUCGCGGCCUAUCAGCUUGUUGGUGGGGUAAUGGCCUACCAAGGCGUCGACGGGUAGCCGGCCUGAGAGGGUGUACGGCCACAUUGGGACUGAGAUACGGCCCAGACUCCUACGGGAGGCAGCAGUGGGGAAUAUUGCACAAUGGGCGCAAGCCUGAUGCAGCGACGCCGCGUGGGGGAUGACGGCCUUCGGGUUGUAAACUCCUUUCGCUAGGGACGAAGCGUUUUGUGACGGUACCUGGAGAAGAAGCACCGGCUAACUACGUG